UCCUCUUCGCCUCACCCUCAUCUUCAUCUCUAUUCCCCUCUCCAUCGUAUUUUUAGGGUUUUUCUGAGUCCCCGUUUUUCUCAAACUGACACUGCGCUCCACCCUCUUUUACCCAUUAAUACGACAACGUUUUCUGGAAGGUGUAUAUAUUUAUCUAUACUGAACCCCAGACAUUCGCAAUUGUAGUAUAAGCAUCGAUCAACGCGAGACUCGAAAUACAUCAUCCAGGGUUACGGUUUUCUGCAAUUUUGACUCUCAUGGCUUCUUCCUCUAUCAUCACUCCGGAGGAUGUGCUUGAGUCCCUCAUGAACGACGGCACAAUCGAUGCCCUCAGAUUGAAGAUCAUCAACCAGCUCAAGGCCAAUGAGGAAUUGAAGAGCACUACUAUAAAGAUGGCUGAACAGAGUAGGGUUCUGAACACCCCUGGAGCUGAGAAACAGACCAAAAGAGAGCUGUUUGAUGCGCUUCGGCAAGAGCUCGAAGCUUCUGUACUUGAAAAAGCCUCUAAAUCAGUUUGGGAGUUAAUUUUAGACAAUAAUGGCCUGGGAAAGGAGAUAAGUGAAACAGUUGAAAAAGUGUUUUGUCGAUUGAGUGGCCAAGAGCCUCCUUUAUUUCCACUUCCAAAUGGGGAACCACAACCUGAUAAGGAGGCUGACAGCAGAAAAGAUAAAGGCAAAGGAAAGCAAAAAGAAAACGAGAAUGUAAAUUUAAACACGCCACCAAAGAAAAGAAGCUUUGCCGAAAUAAAUUCAGAAGGAGCAGAAGAAACUACAACCAGGUCUUCUGAUCCUGCAGCGAUGUCAGAAGGCUCUGGCAAAUCGCCGCUUUCAAUCUCAAAAACUUGAUUUGUUUUUACAGGACACAUUAGGAAUAUAAUUUGAACAUCAUGAUUUAUGCAAUGGUUGAAGUCCACUGGUUGACAUGCUAUUAUAUCAGUCUGCUUGCCCCAAAGCAAUUAAAUCCCUCAGGGCACAUUAUUCUUUCUCUUUACUUUCAAUCUAGAAGGGGUGGUUUUGUGAUGGCAAUACGCAACCAAGGAAACUGGAAACCUUGGACUCCUUUUUAAGUCAAUGGUUGUGGGUGGCACCUUUGCUCAGAAAUGAUGUUUCAUCCAGCUUUGAAAUCCAUGAACCAGCUUCUGCUUAUAGCUCCUUCAGGUGGUUCUCUUGCUGCCCCAGGCUACCCUACCAAUAAAAAUAAAAAAUAAAUCAAUAAGAAGACAUAGGAUAUUCUCUUGGCCACUCACUUUCCAUUUGCUGUUUUGGUAUAAUUUCUCUUGAAAUAAAUUUUUAAAGAAUGAUCUUAGAACUUUUCAGAGAUCUGAUUUAUGUUUGAGAAUGAUGUUAAACAGUGAGCGCUUAAAUAAGUUUGUUAUUGAAAAUAGUAUUAUUACUAUUAUAUGUUU